UGCUCAUUAGCUUAGUUGGUUAGAGUGUUGUGCUAAUAACCUAAAAGUCAAAAGUUCAAUUCUUGUUUGGGCCA
rfam:Glycine soja cultivar W05 scaffold4724_38, whole genome shotgun sequence.